rnacentral:tRNA from 1 species
GGCAAGAUGGCCGAAUGGUUAAGGCGUGUGACUCAAGUUCACAUCCGUAAGGGUUCUGGGUUCGAGUCCCAGUCUUGUCA